UACGUAGGGUGCGGGCGUUGUCCGGAAUUAUUGGGCGUAAAGGGCUCGUAGGCGGUUUGUCGCGUCGGGAGUGAAAACUCAGGGCUUAACCCUGAGCCUGCUUCCGAUACGGGCAGACUGGAGUUCGGCAGGGGAGACUGGAAUUCCUGGUGUAGCGGUGAAAUGCGCAGAUAUCAGGAGGAACACCGGUGGCGAAGGCGGGUCUCUGGGCCGAUACUGACGCUGAGGAGCGAAAGCGUGGGGAGCGAACAGG
rnacentral:rRNA from 1 species